rnacentral:rRNA from 1 species
UUCCGGUUGAUCCUGCCGGACCUGACUGCUAUCGGAUUGAUACUAAGCCAUGCGAGUCAUUGUAGUAAUACAAGGCAGACGGCUCAGUAACGCGUAGUCAACCUAACCUAUGGACGGGGAUAAACUCGGGAAACUGAGUAUAAUACCCGAUAGAACACUAUAUCUGGAAUGGUUUGUGUUCCAAAUGAUUUAUCGCUGUAGGAUGGGACUGCGGCCUAUCAGUUUGUUGGUGAGGUAAUGGCCCACCAAGACUAUUACAGGUACGGGCUCUGAGAGGAGUAGCCCGGAGAUGGGUACUGAGACACGGACCCAGGCCCUAUGGGGCGCAGCAGGCGAGAAAACUUUGCAAUGUGCGAAAGCACGACAAGGUUAAUCCGAGUGGUUUCUGCUAAAGGAACCUUUUGUCGGUCCUAGAAACACUGAUGAAUAAGGGGUGGGCAAGUUCUGGUGUCAGCCGCCGCGGUAAAACCAGCACCUCAAGUGGUCAGGAUGAUUAUUGGGCCUAAAGCAUCCGUAGCCGGCUUUGUUAGUUUUCGGUUAAAUCUGUGCGCUUAACGUACAGGCUGCCGGAAAUACUGCAAAGCUAGGGAGUGGGAGAGGUAGACGGUACUCGGUAGGAAGGGGUAAAAUCCUUUGAUCUAUUGAUGACCACCUGUGGCGAAGGCGGUCUACCAGAACACGUCCGACGGUGAGGGAUGAAAGCUGGGGGAGCAAACCGGAUUAGAUACCCGGGUAGUCCCAGCUGUAAACUAUGCAAACUCAGUGAUGCAUUGGCUUGUGGCCAAUGCAGUGCUGCAGGGAAGCCGUUAAGUUUGCCGCCUGGGAAGUACGUACGCAAGUAUGAAACUUAAAGGAAUUGGCGGGGGAGCACCACAAGGGGUGAAGCCUGCGGUUCAAUUGGAGUCAACGCCGGA